GACGAACGCUGGCGGCGUGCUUAACACAUGCAAGUCGAGCGGUGAACCCUUCGGGGGGAUCAGCGGCGAACGGGUGAGUAACACGUGGGCAACCUGCCCCUGACUCUGGGAUAGCCUCGGGAAACCGGGAUUAAUACCGGAUAUGACACCUCCUCGCAUGGGGUGGUGUGGAAAGUUUUUCGGUCAGGGAUGGGCUCGCGGCCUAUCAGCUUGUUGGUGGGGUGAUGGCCUACCAAGGCGACGACGGGUAGCCGGCCUGAGAGGGUGACCGGCCACACUGGGACUGAGACACGGCCCAGACUCCUACGGGAGGCAGCAGUGGGGAAUAUUGCGCAAUGGGCGAAAGCCUGACGCAGCGACGCCGCGUGAGGGAUGAAGGCCUUCGGGUUGUAAACCUCUUUCAGCAGGGAAGAAGCGAAAGUGACGGUACCUGCAGAAGAAGCACCGGCUAACUACGUGCCAGCAGCCGCGGUAAUACGUAGGGUGCAAGCGUUGUCCGGAAUUAUUGGGCGUAAAGAGCUCGUAGGCGGUUUGUCGCGUCUGCUGUGAAAACGCGGGGCUCAACUCCGCGCCUGCAGUGGGUACGGGCAGACUAGAGUGCAGUAGGGGAGACUGGAAUUCCUGGUGUAGCGGUGGAAUGCGCAGAUAUCAGGAGGAACACCGGUGGCGAAGGCGGGUCUCUGGGCUGUAACUGACGCUGAGGAGCGAAAGCGUGGGUAGCGAACAGGAUUAGAUACCCUGGUAGUCCACGCCGUAAACGUUGGGCGCUAGGUGUGGGGCUCAUUCCACGAGUUCCGUGCCGCAGCAAACGCAUUAAGCGCCCCGCCUGGGGAGUACGGCCGCAAGGCUAAAACUCAAAGGAAUUGACGGGGCCCCGCACAAGCGGCGGAGCAUGCGGAUUAAUUCGAUGCAACGCGAAGAACCUUACCAAGGCUUGACAUGCAGGGUAAUCCGGCAGAGAUGUCGGGUCCGCAAGGGAUCUUGCACAGGUGGUGCAUGGUUGUCGUCAGCUCGUGUCGUGAGAUGUUGGGUUAAGUCCCGCAACGAGCGCAACCCUCGUCCUAUGUUGCCAGCGCGUGAUGGCGGGGACUCAUAGGAGACUGCCGGGCUCAACUCGGAGGAAGGUGGGGAUGACGUCAAAUCAUCACGCCCCUUAUGUCUUGGGCUUCACGCAUGCUACAAUGGCCAGUACAAAGGGCUGCGAGACCGUGAGGUGGAGCGAAUCCCAAAAAGCUGGUCUCAGUUCGGAUCGGGGUCUGCAACUCGACCCCGUGAAGUCGGAGUCGCUAGUAAUCGCAGAUCAGCAACGCUGCGGUGAAUACGUUCCCGGGGCU
rnacentral:rRNA from 1 species